GAAUAUUGGGCAAUGGGCGCAAGCCUGACCCAGCCACGCCGCGUGCAGGAAGAAGGCCCUCUGGGUUGUAAACUGCUUUUGACUGGGAAGAAAAGACCUCUUGCGAGAGGAGUUGACGGUACCAGCAGAAUAAGCCACGGCUAACUACGUGCCAGCAGCCGCGGUAAUACGUAGGUGGCGAGCGUUAUCCGGAUUUAUUGGGUUUAAAGGGUGCGUAGGCGGCUGAUUAAGUCAGCGGUGAAAGGUAGCAGCUUAACUGUUUUACAUGCCGUUGAUACUGGUUAGCUUGAGUUGACAGAAGGCAGAUAGAAUUUCUGGUGUAGCGGUGAAAUGCUUAGAUACCAGGAGGAAUACCGAUUGCGAAGGCAGUCUGCUGCAGUCACACUGACGCUGAGGCACGAAAGUGCGGGGAUCAAAC
rnacentral:rRNA from 1 species